UACGGAGGGUCCAAGCGUUAUCCGGAAUCAUUGGGUUUAAAGGGUCCGUAGGCGGUUUAGUAAGUCAGUGGUGAAAGCCCAUCGCUCAACGGUGGAACGGCCAUUGAUACUGCUAAACUUGAAUUAUUAGGAAGUAACUAGAAUAUGUAGUGUAGCGGUGAAAUGCUUAGAGAUUACAUGGAAUACCAAUUGCGAAGGCAGGUUACUACUAAUUGAUUGACGCUGAUGGACGAAAGCGUGGGUAGCGAACAGG
rnacentral:rRNA from 1 species